GUAGUCCACGCCCUAAACGAUGUCAACUGGGUGUUGGGGAAGCGAUUCCUUGGUACCGUAGCUAACGCGUGAAGUUGACCGCCUGGGGAGUACGGCCGCAAGGUUAAAACUCAAAGGAAUUGACGGGGACCCGCACAAGCGGUGGAUGAUGUGGAUUAAUUCGAUGCAACGCGAACAACCUUACCUACCCUUGACAUGUCUGGAACCCUGCUGAGAGGCGGGGGUGCCCGAAAGGGAACCGGAACACAGGUGCUGCAUGGCUGUCGUCAGCUCGUGUCGUGAGAUGUUGGGUUAAGUCCCGCAACGAGCGCAACCCUUGUCCCUAGUUGCUACGCAAGGGCACUCUAGGGAGACUGCCGGUGACAAACCGGAGGAAGGUGGGGAUGACGUCAAGUCCUCAUGGCCCUUAUGGGUAGGGCUUCACACGUCAUACAAUGGCCGGUACAGAGGGUUGCCAACCCGCGAGGGGGAGCCAAUCCCAGAAAGCCGGUCGUAGUCCGGAUUGCAGUCUGCAACUCGACUGCAUGAAGUCGGAAUCGCUAGUAAUCGCGGAUCAGCAUGUCGCGGUGAAUA
rnacentral:rRNA from 1 species